ensembl:lncRNA
GUUUAAUACAUAAAAGGUUGUCCUAGGCCAAGGCCACCCCACUCCCACCCCGUGAGGCAGGGAGAUGAACCCGACCACUUUCAGUUUUCUGUUUGCAAAACUGAAGACUGAGGCCCAAACUUUGAGGGAUAACUAAGUGAGACUAGGAUUCCCAUGUCUAAGCUGAGAGUAGACCCAGGGGUGCACUGACUCCAGACAGACAGGGAGGGAGAAAUGGGGUGCGCUGGCCCCAUGCACACCAGAACGGGGACCCCGGGGUGCACUGGCUUCACGCAGACUGGUUACAGAGCAGAGGAGCUUUUCAGAGCAGCUUCACAAAGAGCUAAGUUGGAGACCAAGAACCACCAAAUCCUCCACGUGGCACAGGCAGGCCCAACUGAAGUCCCCUCCCCCCACCGCCUGUGGCUCAAUUCCAUCUGGCAACCCUUUAAAUAGGGCAGGAGUGUUUAUAGGCUGCAGGCCUUGGCCCGGAAGCCUGAAACUCCUGCUUCCUCAAGGCAUCCGGUGGCCAGGUGGGGUGGAUCCAGGGCUGCAGGAUGCAGUGAGAAGACCCAGCUGGGCCCGAGACUUCCCUCUUUUCCUGAGGUGGAGAUCAGGCCUGCUAUUGCCCCAGGUCGGCUCUGGUAUUUUGAUCCUAGGAGAGGUCUUGGGGGGAGGGUAGCCGCCGAGAACUGGGUAGGAAUGCGGAGACCCUAGGGUGCAGGUGGAGCUGUGUGUGUGCUCAGUCGCUUUACCCAUGUCUGACUCUUGGCAACCCCAUGGACUAAAGCCUGCCAGGCUCUUCUGUCCAUGGGAUCCUCCAGAUGAAUUAGCAUCGGCAGGAUCCAGGAUUUAAGCCAAAGCAGCAAAGCAAUGAUGAGGGGAUUUCCGGCGCUGGCCAGCAGAUGGGGGCUGAAGAGAGGACCCAGGAACACUCCCAGGAUGGUUGAGACCAUUCCAACAUCGUCAACAUGACAGACGCAGGCCUGGGCUUGGCCAGGUUCACUAUUCGCUAGCUGUGUGGACCCACUGCUGAACAUUUCUGACCUGGUUUCCUCAUCUGUACACUAGGAGUGAUGCUCCCACUUUUACCAAAUGGAUGAAGGGCAAGGACAUAAUGAGGUCAACCGCCUAGCACAGAGUGGGUGCUUUGUCACCAUUUUCCUUCCCCCUGCCACAUCCCAAGCACCUAGGCCAUUUUCCUGGAGGAGUGGACAGAGAAAGGGCUGGGGCAGAAUGCAUUAUACUCUGGUUAUUUCUUACAGCCUAAGGUCAUCCCAACCCUCCCUUUACUUUUGCCUCAGGGCAGUCUGUAGAGUCUAAGGUGGCUCUGAGGAUCAAAUGAGUCCCACCUAUAGUCCCUUCACAUCCUGAGAACUCUAGGCCAGAGGCCCCCCAGAGUUGUCCCCGGAGACAGGGCUCAGCAUCAUGUCUUCGUCCUCCUCCAGCUGGCACUGAGUCCAGUGGUUUGUUAAUCUAACUGCCACCCCAAAGCUUGGUGACCAAAAACAAGCCUGUGUCUAUCAUCACCUCUCAUGUUCCUGUGGAUGCACUGGGCCCAGCUGGGCAGUACCCACUCCAGGUCCCAGAUGGGACUUCAGUCAGAUGUCCUCUGGGGCUGAAGUCAUCUGAAGGUCUGACUGCUGGGACAGCCCAGAUGGCUCCCUCACGUGCCUGGGCUGUCAUCCAUGGGAGCACCCACACGUGGCCUCUCCACGUGGUCUGGCCAUCUCAUAGCCUGGCCACUGGCUUCCUAGAGGGCACAUCACAUCCAAGGAAGCCAGGCAGAACCUGCAAGGCUUCUUACGGCCUCCUCUUGGAAGUCUUGGUACAUCACUUUCAUUGCAUUCUGUUGGUCAAGCAGGCCCAAGCUCAGCCCAGAUCCAAAGCAAGCAGGAUAGGAGUCCACCUCCAGAUGGGAAGUGGGUAAAGUCACAGAAGAGCAUACUGCAUGGAGAUACUAUGGCAGGCAUCUUUGGAAAAGACAACAUUUUGCGCCCAUCAGUCUAUUCUUCCCAGGCAAAGAACUUGUGCUAAAGGGGUAGGGGGAAUGAGCCCUGUCCCAGGGGUCAGACAGAUCUGGGCCUUACUGGCAGCCCAUCCAGGGGCCAGCCAGUAGUCACCGACAGUGCCAAGCAGCAGGUCUUUCCCAACUAGCUCUGAGUGUUUCCCCUCUUGCAUCAGGGGUAGUUGUAAAGCUGAAAUGAGGUCACCUGCUUCUUCAUUCUAGUCUAACAGCUGUUCAUCAAGCACCUGGUUUAUUCAUUCAUUCAACCACCAUUUGCUAAGACCACUCAGAGAGGAAGUCAGUAUGGCCAGGGUUUGAUGGAAGACAGGCGCUUGCUCAGAUGACUACAAAACACUGCCCAACGCAGCAGACCCAGGUAGACAGUCGAUGGGGCGCAGGCAAGAGGGAGGUUGGCUUCGGUUAGGGAAGGAAAAAUGGGGGAAGGCUUCUACCAACAAACACAUGAGGGAAAUGAUGGAAGGCUUCUACCUUCAAACACAAACCUCUACUUGAACCUCUUCUUUAAGGACCCAUGCAGGUCUCCCAGGAGGUAAAGAGGGAAGAGGAAAGGUCCCCAGGUGAAGCAGGGUAUGAGAAAGUACAGCAGGUUUAGCACAUGGCAGACCACGUGGAUGGCUGCAAGGCUGACAGGGAUGAGGAGUGGGCGUGGGGAUACAGUGAGGAAAUGCAAUGGGCAGGAGGAUAGAAAAGCAGGGAUCUGAAGGUCAUGCAAAAGUUUGGACUUCAAACAAAGAAGUCCUUGACCGAUUUUAUCAUGAUCAAACCUAUCCUCUAGGUAGUUCAAAUGGGUAUAGAAUGCAUAGAAUGGCUUAGAAGAGAGUGACACAAAAAGCAGCAGGAUAAUGUUAUUUAUUAUUCGAUUACUGUAUUUAAUUACCAGGUUCCAGGCCCUGCUCCAGGCUCUUUUACAAUCACCAAUCUAUUAAACUUUAUGACAACUGUAUAAUCUAGGUAAGAUGAUUAUCCCCAUCUUACAGAUGAGAACACUGAGGCACAGAGAGGGAAAGUUAUUUGCCCAAAGUUACCAGGCAGAGACAAGGCAGAGCUGAGAGCCAACCCGGGUGUCUGGCUCUAUAGUCUGUCUGUUUCGCCGCAGGCUUGCUCUGCUUUGCCAUAAUCCAGCUGAGAGACACGGCAGUGCCUCAGCAAGGGGAUGGGAGGGGCAGGGCAGGUGUUUCCUGUCCACCACCGAGUCCCCAAGGGCUGACCCAGAGCCUGGUAGGAAAUAGGUGCUCAGUGACCACAUGUGGGCAGAGCACGAGCAAAAGGAAGGAACCCCACAGCCCAUGCUGAAUCUCCACAUCGCAAGGAUUACAGGCCUUCUUUCACAGGGCAUCCUGACCAUCAUAUCCCCCACCAGCCCAGCCCACCAGGCACUGGAGAUGCUGAUUGAGAAAUAAGGUGCGGAGCUGGCCCACAGACUGACAGGCAAGACCCCUCAGAGACUUGGGCAGACAGAUGCAGGCUCAUUUUGCACUGUCUGCCGCAGUGUCCGGGGACUCCAGGGACCCAGAACUAAGUGGCACCUCCUCCACAGGGAGUCCCAGCCCCUUCCUCCACCGCUGCACCCACCUCUGUCCCCUCCCAUCCCCUGCAGAGAGUGUUAACAAAAGCACUGAAAUGAAGCCCGUUUAGGGUUUAGGGCUUAGAAAGAGUCCCCUGCUGGAAGGAUGUCUGCAGUCGAGCUGAGGAGGCAUCACUCUGCAGCACACGCUGAGGGUCUGCUGGGAAUUUCCUGAGGGGCUGGUGCCGAGAGAAGCAAAACGGAUGCUCAGGAGGGACAAGAUGCACUUCAUAAAUAGUUAGCGCCAUCCAGGUAUAGAGACAGGCUCUCCCUGGAGCCAGGAAUUAGAGGCGCCUGACUUGUCUCAUGAAAUCCUCAGUAACUGUGCUGUCCAUCAGGGCUCCAGCAAGAGCCCAGCUCUCUGGCUCCAGCUCUCCUGUCUUCCUUCUUGCAAGACGUGCCAGUGGGGAAAGACCU